rnacentral:rRNA from 1 species
GCGCACCAGGCGAGAAACUUUACAAUGUGCGAAAGCACGAUAAGGGAACUCUGAGUGCCUCCUAAGGAGGCUGUUCUGAUGUCUAAAAGCAACAGAAGUAAGGGCUGGGUAAGACCGGUGCCAGCCGCCGCGGUAACACCGGCAGCCCAAGUGGUAGCCACGUUUAUUGGGUCUAAAGCGUUCGUAGCCGGCCAGGUAAGUUCCUUGGUAAAUUUAGCCGCUUAACGGUUAAGCUUUCAGGGAAUACUGCUUGGCUUGGGACUGGGAGAGGUCAGAGGUACUCCGGGGGUAGGGGUGAAAUCUAUUAAUCCCUGGGGGACCACCGGUAGCGAAGGCGUCUGACCAGACCAGGUCCGACGGUGAGGGACGAAGGCUAGGGGCGCGAACCGGAUUAGAUACCCGUGUAGUCCCCUGAGACCCA